rnacentral:rRNA from 1 species
UCAAGUCAUCAUGGCCCUUAUGGGCAGGGCUACACACGUGCUACAAUGGCCGGUACAGAGGGUUGCCAACCCGCAAGGGGGAGCCAAUCCCAUAAAACCGGUCGUAGUCCGGAUCGGAGUCUGCAACUCGACUCCGUGAAGUCGGAAUCGCUAGUAAUCGCAGAUCAGCAUGCUGCGGUGAAUACGUUCCCGGGCCUUGUACACACCGCCCGUCACACCAUGGGAGUGGGCUGCAAAAGAAGUAGGUAGCUUAACCUUCGGGAGGGCGCUUACCACUUUGUGGUUCAUGACUGGGGUGAAGUCGUAACAAGGUAGCCGUAGGGGAACCUGCGGCUGGAUCACCUCCUUACCUU